AAUUCUCAACUGCCUUUUAGCAUUUAUGUUAAGGGUGAAGUUGGAGUUGGAGGAUAACUGCUGGCGCGACUCAGGUUGCUUGUUGGCUCCUCUUAAAUGGAUGAGCUUUUCUGAUGGGAUUAUAGCUCAGUAACGCUGAUGUGAUAAUUAUCUACGUUAGACGUGAAUGGCUCCUACGGAAAAGGGACGUCUUUUGACUUGUAACAA
rnacentral:misc_RNA from 1 species